rnacentral:rRNA from 1 species
UACGGGGGGGGCAAGCGUUGUUCGGAUUUACUGGGCGUAAAGGGUGCGUAGGCGGCACCACAAGUCACUUGUGAAAUCUCCAAGCUCAACUUGGAACGGUCAAGUGAUACUGUGGAGCUAGAGUGCAGAAGGGGCAACCGGAAUUCUCGGUGUAGCGGUGAAAUGCGUAGAUAUCGAGAGGAACACCUGCGGCGAAGGCGGGUUGCUGGGCUGACACUGACGCUGAGGCACGAAAGCUAGGGUAGCAAACGGG